AGGGGCGCCUGGGUGGCUCCAUCGGUGAAGUGUCUGCCUUCGGCUCAGCUUGAAGAACAGGAAGACUUGAAGAACAGGAAGUCCAUCUUGAAGCAUAGUUUGAGAUUCGAGUAUUUAGAAUUUGUUCACAAGACGAUAACCUGUCAGGGAACACUUAAAAAUCUUUGGAAUUAAAAAGGAA